rnacentral:rRNA from 1 species
UAUGAACGCUGGCGGCGUGCCUAACACAUGCAAGUCGAGCGAAGCACUUUGCUUAGAUUCUUCGGAUGAAGAGGAUUGUGACUGAGCGGGCAGGACGGUAGGAGUAACGCGUUGGGUAACCUGCCUCAUACAGGGGGAUAACAGUUAGAAAUGACUGCUAAUACCGCAUAAGACCACAGCACCGCAUGGUGCAGGGGUAAAAACUCCGGUGGUAUGAGAUGGACCCGCGUCUGAUUAGCUAGUUGGUAAGGUAACGGCUUACCAAGGCGACGAUCAGUAGCCGACCUGAGAGGGUGACCGGCCACAUUGGGACUGAGACACGGCCCAA